AGGGCUCGAUCAGCUGGCAGUCGGGGGCGUCGCUGCUAGCUCUCCUGCUGCAUGGGGUUUUUUCCAGCGAUGAAGGAGCCGGUGGUGAGUCACGCUGCUGAAGCAACCUAAGAGAAUAAGCCCCCCGAGGAACCUGAGCGAUUUCUGCCCAAUAGCCUUGCUAAGCGCAGGAGGAAACUUCUCCUGUGGUGAUUUCAGCUCGAGUAAAGGCUCCAGGUUCCACAAGGCUCCGAGGAUUCCAGCGAGCGGAAGGAUCACCUAAACCAAACCGCGUCGUCUCCAGGGUGAAAAGGGGCAAGCCAGGGCUUCCCCGACCUUAAGUGGCCUUUCUAAGGCCCGCCCCUGCUGCCAGCCAAUUGGCUGGCGCCACAGGGGAUGCUAAUUGGGGGAAUCUCUGCCUCCCGCGAGGCUGGCGCCAGCCUCGGGAGAGCGAGAGUGGGCGGGGUCGUGAUCCCACAACCCCCCCUCCUCCUGACGAUCGGAAGGGGCAU